GUGCUCACCUAGGCAGCACAUAUACUAAAAUUGGAACGAUACAGAGAAGAUUAGCAUGGCCCCUGCACAAGGAUGACACGCAAAUUUGUGAAGCAUUCCAUUAAAAA
rnacentral:snRNA from 1 species